AACGUAGGUGGCGAGCGUUAUCCGGAUUUACUGGGCGUAAAGCGUGUUCAGGCGGUUUGGAAAGUCGGGCAUGAAAUCUCUUGGCUCAACCAGGAGAGGCUGUCCGAUACUUCCAGACUUGAGGGCAACAGAGGGCGGUGGAAUUCCGGGUGUAGUGGUAAAAUGCGUAGAUAUCCGGAGGAACACCAGUGGCGAAGGCGGCCGCCUGGGUUGCCCCUGACGCUAAAACACGAAGGCUAGGGUAGAGAACGGG
rnacentral:rRNA from 1 species